UCCCUGGUGGUCCAGUAACUAGGACUCCAGGCUCCCAAUGCAGGAGGCCCAGGUUUGAUCCCUGGUCAGGGAG
rnacentral:tRNA from 1 species